CCUACGGGUGGCAGCAGUGGGGAAUAUUGCACAAUGGGCGCAAGCCUGAUGCAGCCAUGCCGCGUGUGUGAAGAAGGCCUUGGGGUUGUAAAGCACUUUCAGCGGGGAGGAAGGCGUUAAGGUUAAUAACCUUGGCGAUUGACGUUACCCGCAGAAGAAGCACCGGCUAACUCCGUGCCAGCAGCCGCGGUAAUACGGAGGGUGCAAGCGUUAAUCGGAAUUACUGGGCGUAAAGCGCACGCAGGCGGUCUGUCAAGUCGGAUGUGAAAUCCCCGGGCUCAACCUGGGAACUGCAUUCGAAACUGGCAGGCUAGAGUCUUGUAGAGGGGGGUAGAAUUCCAGGUGUGGCGGUGAAAUGCGUAGAGAUCUGGAGGAAUACCGGUGGCGAAGGCGGCCCCCUGGACAAAGACUGACGCUCAGGUGCGAAAGCGUGGGGAGCAAACAGGAUUAGAUACCCGAGUAGUC
rnacentral:rRNA from 1 species